rnacentral:snRNA from 1 species
GUGCUCACUUUGGCAGCACAUAUAUUAAAACUGAAACAAUACAAAGAAGAUUAGCAUGGUCCCUGCACAAGGAUGACAUGCAAAUAUGGAAGCAUUCCAUAUUUU